AACGUAGGUGACAAGCGUUAUCCGGAUUUACUGGGCGUAAAGCGUGUGCAGGCGGGGGGAUAAGUGGUGUAUGAAAACGCUCGGCUUAACCGGGCGCUGUUAUGCCAGACUAUCUCUCUGGAGCGCGAGAGAGGAGCGUGGAAUUCCAGGUGUAGCGGUGAAAUGCGUAGAUAUCUGGAGGAACACCGGUGGCGAAGGCGGCAGUCCUGGGACCGAGAUUGACGCUGAUGCGCGAAAGCCAGGGGAGCAAACGGG
rnacentral:rRNA from 1 species